rnacentral:rRNA from 1 species
GGCUGCAGUCCAGGAUCUUCGGCAAUGGGCGCAAGCCUGACCGAGCGAUGCUGCGUGCUGGAUGAAGGUCUUCGGAUUGUAAACAGCUGUUGGGGGGGAUGAAGUGCAUGGGAGCUAUCUCCUGUGUUUGACCUACCCCCAGAGAAAGCGCGGGCUAAGUUCGUGCCAUCAGCCGCGGUAAUACCAACUGAGCGAACGUUAUUCGGAUUCACUGGGCUUAAAGGGUGCGUAGGCGGCUUGUAAGUGGGAUGUGAAAUUUUGCGGCUCAACCGUAAGACUGCAUCUCAUACUGGCAAGCUUGAGUGAGUCAGGGGUGUGUGGAACUGCCAGUGGAGCGGUGAAAUGUGUUGAUAUUGGCAGGAACGCCGGUGGCAAAAGCAACACACUGGGGCUUAACUGACUCUGAGGCACUGAAGCCAGGGGAGCAAACGGGAUUACAUACCCCGGUAGUCCUGGCCGUAAACUAUGAGUACUACGUUGGGGGGAUUCGUUCUCCCAGCCUUAGGGAAACCGUUAAGUACUCUCCCUGGGCUUGUGGUCAUUGGGCUGAUCCUCGACUGCUUGACGGGGGCUCACA